rnacentral:misc_RNA from 1 species
AAACUACAAGGGGAGCUAAAGCUCCCCCAGAAGUAGUUGCGUGCUCUUUUUUUAUUAUGGUGACGGGCUUUUGUUUUUGUUGAUCGCCCUAUGUCACAAGUCUUUUUUGCUUGUGACGUCUCCCAAUCGGGAGUCAAGAGCAAACGGAUUGCUUUGGUUGCUGUGUUGUCAUGAUCCAGUGGAUCCAACCAGUUCAGGCUCUGCCUUGAGGGCAGUU